GUGUUUUUUUUCUUCAUAAAUUUAACACAUAUUUGUCCAUAAAAACAGUCAUUUUCUUUAUUUCUUUUUUUCUUUGUAAAUUUUUUUAAACAACAUAUUAUGAUAACAAUACAUUAUAUUUUAGAAUUUCAGAUUUUAAAAAACUUAAAUAUCAAUACAUUAUCAUUUAAGUCAAUAUAAUUAUUCAUAAAAAAUUCCCAUAUUUUCUUGUUUUAGUGUUAAACGCAUAUAUUUAAUUUUAAAAACGAGGUAUAAAAUAAGAAUAAUUUAUUCUACUUGUGCUGAUUUGGUGUACUAAACAUAGUCACCUUGAGAAGGCUUCUAUGUUAAACAAAUGCUUUAAGUAGCUAAGUAAUAUGUAUAAGUAUAUGUCAUUUUCAUUCAUAUACAUCAAUUUGGAGUGUUUCAUCCCAUCCGAUAACGGUCAAAGCAAACAUAGCUCUUUUCCCAUGUAUCCAUCUAAUAGAUUAUAUGUAUCUAGCAAAAGUAGCUCUACAUUAUUUUCACAAUUUGUGUCUUUUUUCUUCCUAAAUUUGACACAUAUUUGUCCAUAAAAACAGUCAUUUUCUUUAUUUCUUUUUUUCUUUGUAAAUUUUUUUAAACAACAUAUUAUGAUAUCAAUACAUUAUAUUUUAGAAUU
rnacentral:lncRNA from 1 species